UAUCUCUGUAGAGUCUGCAUAUCAAUAAGCGGAGGAAAAGAAACUAACAAGGAUUCCCUUAGUAACGGCGAGUGAAGCGGGAAGAGCUCAAAUUUGAAAUCUUCAAGGUUUUACCUUGACGAAUUGUAGUUUAAAGAAGUGUUUUCUGUUGAAGUUUCGGUAAAAGUUCUUUGGAAUAGGACAUCAUAGAGGGUGAGAAUCCCGUAUUUGACCGUUAUUUUCAGCUGUGUGAUACACUUUCAAAGAGUCGGAUUGUUUGGGAAUGCAGUCCAAAAUGGGUGGUAAAUUUCAUCUAAAGCUAAAUAUUGGCGAGAGACCGAUAGCGAACAAGUACCGUGAGGGAAAGAUGAAAAGAACUUUGAAAAGAGAGUUAAACAGUACGUGAAAUUGUCAAAAGGGAAGCGUUUGACACCAGUGUUGUUUUCUCGAAAAUCAAUUAAAAAUGGCGGGAUUUUGUGUUGUAUUGACUUUAUCAGCUUUCUGCACUUUUUUCCUGUCUUUUUUAAUGCACUUUUCGUUUAACAAGUCAACAUCAAUUUCUUUUGUUGUAAAAGGGUCAUUGGAAGGUGGCUUUCUUUUCGGAGAAAGUGUUUAUAGCCUUUGGCUUCUGCAAUCGGAGAGAUUGAGGUCUGCAGCGUAGAUCCUUCGGGGUUAGAUACAUUGGUGCUAAGCUAUAGCCUUGUAUAGACAACUUGUUGACUAUGCUCAGUCAUGUAGCUUACUCGCCGAUGCUAUUUUACCUACGCUUAGGAUGUUGAUCUCUCACAGUCGAGC
rnacentral:rRNA from 1 species